rnacentral:lncRNA from 1 species
CCUCCAGUUGCUGCAAUAUCUUUUAAACAGAAAAAGACUCAUGAUGGAAAUCAGCAAUGGAAAGUAAUUUAUUUCUAGACAAUGCUGGAAAAGAAGCAGCAGUUACCAUAUUAACAUUCACUUCCACUACUGUAUGAAAACUGGCCACCUGUUUUCUGACAGUAUAUCACGAAGGAAAAUUGCACUAGUUCGUAUACACUAAUAGCAUUACUCAAAAAAAUUUUGGAUUACAUUUUUUAUAUGUGUCAAGUUUGUGACAACUUCAAACCUACAGAAUCAUUUUCCCUUACUAGAAAUGCAUUCAUCAAACCUACAGCCCUCAUUUUCCGUGUUUAUACAUUUAUACAUGCAUUAAUUUUAAAGGGAAUAGUUCUUAUGCUGGGACACUGCUACUAAGUAGGGUUGGUUUAUCUUAAAUAAUGGAAACAUAUAUCUUUAAAGUCUUAAUAAAAAGAACAUUUAUACCAUUUGCAAGAACAGAUUUCAGUUGGGUUAGUAGUCUUUACAUUUAAAGGCCAUCAAACGUGAAUUGGUCAGAUAAGUCUGGCUCAUCAUAGCUAAGUUUAAUCUAUUAACUAUAAAGUACUAUAUAUUUUUGCCCUAUGAAUAGACUUGUAAUCUGUCACAAAUUUCUUUUACUAGAUCAACACUUCAGCUGUCAUUGCAAGGCUUUUUCUCCAUCUGAAACAACUUGUUCUUCAUGGAAAGAAACUUGCUUGGCCAAGCCUCUAUCCACGGCUGUAAAUAUGACCUAUAGGAAGUAUUUCUUCAAACUGGAUGAGCAUGUUCUCUUCACGUAUUUUGUUUUUUCCAGUAAUAAAGCACAAAUAGAAGUAUUUCUACAGUCUUUGUUCUUUGUUCAGCAACACACACAUAGAUUGCUGCAGAGGGUGAUGCAGAAGAGCAUUAUCUUGUAAAGAGGAGCCUCCAGCAGGUUUGCUGGCCUUUUGGAAAAGAGCUGCAUUUAUUUCCCAGUGCAGUUUUCUGUGAAGCAAAAUAUUCCCCUUUCCUUGUAUCUGAGCUAGGCAUUUAAUAAAAACAAAUUCUUGGUUUACUUUUCUCCUUGA